rnacentral:rRNA from 1 species
GACGAACGCUGGCGGCGUGCUUAACACAUGCAAGUCGAACGGAAAGGCCCUGCUUUUGUGGGGUGCUCGAGUGGCGAACGGGUGAGUAACACGUGAGUAACCUGCCCUUGACUUUGGGAUAACUUCAGGAAACUGGGGCUAAUACCGGAUAGGAGCUCCUGCUGCAUGGUGGGGGUUGGAAAGUUUCGGCGGUUGGGGAUGGACUCGCGGCUUAUCAGCUUGUUGGUGGGGUAGUGGCUUACCAAGGCUUUGACGGGUAGCCGGCCUGUGAGGGUGACCGGCCACAUUGGGACUGAGAGACGGCCCAGACUCCUACGGGAGGCAGCAGUGGGGAAUAUUGCACAAUGGGCGGAAGCCUGAUGCAGCAACGCCGCGUGCGGGAUGACGGCCUUCGGGUUGUAAACCGCUUUCGCCUGUGACGAAGCGUGAGUGACGGUAAUGGGUAAAGAAGCACCGGCUAACUACGUG